AGGAAGUGAAGAGAGCUUUCUUCGGUCCACUCACGGGAAGGGUUGGGAUUUAUCUUGCUGUCGACUCAUUCAUCCCACCUACUUUGCGUGUGCAUACAUAUUUGAGGAUCAGGGUAGAAAGUAAUUUUCCAACUAAGCUAGAUUGCAUCCAAGAACGCGUCGCGCGCAAAGUAACUGAGUGAAUGAUGCGAGAGUCAAGUUGGAUCUUAAGCUUCCUGUACUUGGACUGAAGGGAGCUCCCUUAUCUCUAUUU
rfam:Beta vulgaris subsp. vulgaris Bvchr5.sca002.con0039.1, whole genome shotgun sequence.